UAUUAGCUGUCCUUAUCAGAUAGGGCAGCACUUCUCAGAUCAAAAGCAGUGGCACUCUGGCUAUAAUUAUUUAUUGCUUUGGGAGAGAGAAAUGAAAAGCAAGUGGGUCGGAACACAUUUUGAACCUGGGGAACUGAAAGCUGAAGCAGAGCAAGGAAAGAAUAACAAUAAUAGUGUGUGUGCAGUCAAGUGGAAAUGGGGAUGUAGCGAGUCCCUCUUGGAUCUGAUCUCUUCUUGCUCCUGACAGCAGCAGAGGACAUGACAGAGGAUCUAAAGCGUCUUCAUCCAGCAGGCUGGAAUGGCUGAUGGUUUGGAAACAAGGCUGCUCCUCAUCAGAACCCAUCACUGCACUGGAAACAAGGCAGCUUCGGCUGGGGCUCGCUUUCUCCCGAUCAGGGGUCCGAAUGUGCUCGAGACAUACGGAAGCCUCCUGGGUCUUCCUACACCAGAGGAAUGGCCUGGCCGAGAGCAGUGAGGGUCUUGUGUGAGUUCCUGCCUCCAGCUGCACAUGUUCCUUUUGGGAGGGCAGGUCUUCUCGCUCCUUUGUCUGCAGGAAAAGCUGAGGUGAGCCGUCAGCAAAAUGCAUCCAAGAACUGUAAAUCAGGGUCAUCUGGAAAUAGGAUCGGAACACCAGGGAGGAAGCUGGAUCUCGGAGAAAUGACUGCAUGGCAUGUUUGGGUAGACAGAAUCUCGGACCACCCCCCCAAGAGUCCUGGGCCUGAAUGCCAAGUGUGGAGAGAUGAAUGGACUCCUGUGCCACAAAACACAGUGUGGAAGAAACAGAGAGGGGAAAAGCCAUGUGGACCAGCAGGAGGGGCAUCUCUGAAACAGGCAAAUUCCCAUGGCUGGGACCAGAGAAGGCAUGGGUGAGGCAGCAGAUGCUGUAUGGUGAGAAGUUAUGGGUUGAAUUGUGUCCAUCCUAAAAUCAUAUGCUGAAGGGCUAACCCCACUGCCUCAGAAUGUGGCCUUAUUUAAAAAUAGGAUCACUACAGAUGUAGUUAAUUAAGAUGAGAUCAUACUAGAACAGGGUGAGCUCCCAAUCCAAUGUGACUAGUAUUGUUAUAGAAAGGGGCAAUCUGGAGAUGGAAGCACAGAGGGAGAACACUAUGCAAAGAUAAAGACAGAAAUUGGGGUGAUGUUCCCACAUUUGAAGGAAUGCCAAAGAUUACCAGUAAGCCACUAGAAGUUAGGAGAGAGGCAUGGGACAGAUUCUCCUUCACCGUCUUCUGAAGGAACAACCCUUCCAAGACCUUGAUCUUGGACUUCUGGUCUCCAGAACUAGAAGGGAAUAAAUUUGUGUUGUUUUUGCCACCCAGUUAGUAAUAGUUUGCUAUGGCAUCCCUUAGAAGACAGAUAUACCAAAUGAUACAAGAAUCAGAUGCAUCCUCACUGAAUUUAGUUGUAGACUUAGGGAAAAUGACGCAAAAAUUCCUCAAGUGAUUAGGAAUCCAACCUGAACCAGAACGGAGUUCAAAAAUACAAAUUAAAAAACAUCAAGAGUACAAAUGCAAAUAAAAAUUGGUUUCUAGAAAAAUGAAGAAAACAAUGUUUUCUAGUUAGGGUGUGAAUUGAGAUGUGUGCAUCUCGUGUAAUUAACUUCCUGGGUUGUCACUAGGCUUUAGUUUCUACUGUACCCGUCACUAGCAACUGAUUUUCCUAAAUUUAUAUCUGACUGACCGCAAUGAACAAACUACCUUUAUGCCUUGUAGCAGGUGGGUGGAGAGUUUAUAUAUGAGAAGACAACUCCUGGAUCCAGCAGAAAGUGGGCCUGGAGUGGCGGUAGCCCAUGGGAAACCUGAUAUGCCUCAGGGUGCUUUCCUUCUCAACUGUUCACCUAUUUCUUCUCCAUUUCCAACCUUCUCCCAUGGGAAGAUCCUGCUUCAGACCCUCAUCUAGCCCACUGCCUCAUCUUCCCCAGCCAUCCACCCCCCCUCCCCAGUCUGUCUGUCCUUGAGGCCCUGCAGCAUCUUUUUAUUUCCUACCUGGUGCCUCUCUUGACCCUGCUUGGGUCUCUGGUAUGCUUCUUAUCAUCAACCUUGUGAAAUGGUGAGGUAGAUUAUUGUCUUCCUUCUAUUUUUCUGCAGCUUUCAUGCAGAGAACCUUGCAUAGGCUAGUCUUCAACAAACAGUAGUUAGAGUGAAUUGAACUGUAUUAUCAAAAUUUAUCUUACUAUGACUGAGAGACUAAGGUCAGGGAAGAUAGUGGAGUAGGAAGCACCAGGAAUCCAUCUCUCCACUUAGACAAUUGUAUUGGCAAAAAUCAUCUGAAAUAACUAUUUUGAAAUUCUGGAGUCUGUUAAAAAAUGUGCCACCUCCUGAAAAAAUCUUGGCAGGUAAGGUGUGGUUAAUUUAGAUAAAUUUCAGCCUUUAUUGUGGUAGUGGCUGUCUCCCACACUUCAGCCCCAGGGUAGGUAGUUGUACCUGUAUACCUGGUAUGACUGGCUGGAGCCAGGGAGGACAAUAAGAACCUUAUUCUCCAAAUACUGGGGUUCUCUGUUCUGGUUUUUCAGUGCUGCUUCUGAUUUCUGAGGUAUGGGAAUAGAGGGUGACCACCAUUGUUGCAAUUCCAAUGAGCUGAAGGGACUUCCAGGGACUUUCAAUGAGAAAUACCUUUUUUUUUUUUCCUCCUUUGGGAGCCAGAUAUGUAAGGACUAAGUCAUUUAAAAGCAAUUACACAUUUGAGAAAAUUUAGAGAGCCAUCAGGAUUGUCUGGAAAAGAUGAAGGCUAGAAAAGGCUUGAGAAGACCUUAUGCUUUCACUUUAGGUUGAUCCCCAGCACAGAGAAACCUUUAACAACAAAGAAACAACAAAUCCUGGGAAGGAGGGAAGCUGAUUAUCAGAGAUACAUUAUAAGAUUUGAAUGUCCAGUUUUCAACAACAACAACAACAACAACAAAAUCACAAGGUAUAAAAAGGAAAAGAAAGGUAUGGCCCACUCAAGGUAAUAAACUACACUGGCAGAAACUGUCUGAGAAAACUCAGAUAUUGAGCAUAUUAUGUAAAGACUUAAAACAACUGUCUUAAAAAUGGUCAAAGCACUAAAGUAUAAUAGUGCUUUGAAUAAAUAAAGACAGGAAAAUGAUGUAUGAGAAAAAUGAUAGUAUCAAUAGAGAUAGAAAUUAUGAAAAUGAAAAAUUAUUUCUAGGGUUUAAAAAUAUAAUAAUUGAAAUGAAAAAUUCACCAGGUGAGUUCAAAAGCAAAUUUAAGCAGGCAAAAGAAUGAAUCAGCAAAUUUGAAUAUAGGGCAAAUGAAAUGAUUAAGUCUAGGGGGUGAAAAGAAGAAUGAAGAACAGUGAACAGAGGGGAUGUGUGGUAAAUUACUAAGAGGACCAACAUAUACAUCAUGGGAGUUUCAGAAAACAAAGAGAAAUAGAACAUUUGAAGAAAUAAUGCCUGAAAGCUUCCCAGAUUUGAAGAAAGACAUGAAUCUGCAUAUCCAAGAAGCUUAACAAAGUCCCAGUAGGAUAAAUUCACUAAUACACUUUUCAAUUAAACUGUCAAAAAAUAGAGAAUCUUGAAAGCAGCAAGAGAGUGGUAACACAACACAUAUAAGAGAAUCUUAAUAAAUUAUGAGCCUAUUUCUCAUCAGAAACUUUGAAGGCCAGAAGAUAGCAGAUCAAUACAUUCAAAGUUCUCAAAGAAAAAAAAUCUAUCAACUAAGAAUUCUAUAUCCAGCAAAACUGUCAUUCAAAAAUGAGGGAGAAUGUCAGACAUUUCAGAUAAAUUGAGGAUGUUUUUUGUUUUUACUACCAGACAUGCUCUACAAUAAACACUAAAGAGAGUCCUUCAGGAUUCAAAUGAAAGGAUGCUAGAUAGUGACUUGAAGCCAUAUGAGAAAAUAAAGAUCUCCAAUCAAGGAGAUAUGAUGCUAAGCUUUGUCAGUACAAGGUACUAGAGAGACACAGAGAAAGAACAGACUUUUGUCUCUGGUUAUGGUAUUUAAUUUCUCUCAGCAGAGUCCUGUGGUAGCAUGUGAUGCAUGCCACCUCCCUCUGAGCAGCUUCAUCUCAGAGGGCAGCAUCUAAGCAUGCCAAUGCUUUGGGAAAAUUCUCAUCCUGGUUUCAGAAGCAGUUUCUCCCCUUGGACAGCUUUCCCUAACACCCCAUAGUGUGGCUUUUCAAAGGACUCCACCAGUGUAGCACCUCUGCAAACUUCUCCAUCAUCCAAUGGACCUUAGUUUCAUCCUCUCCAACAAGUCCAAGGAAUUUUGUCGCUGUAUGUGUGUGUGUGUGUGGGGGGGGUACCUUCAUCCAUAUUUGUUCCUUCCUUGUGUGCUCUGUCUCAGACCCAAAGAUAGUGACCACUUCCUAUACCUGCUCUUCCAGUGCUCUUCCUCUGUUCUCUUUAUCUCUUAGCAGCUCCAACCACCAGUUAUAGUUAAUGCUUUUUUACAUUAAAC